rnacentral:lncRNA from 1 species
GAAAACAAAUGGAAAUGGGCGCACCUGUUUCAGACGACUGUGAAGAAGACUACAACGCUGGUGGAGUUCGACUGCUUGCUGUUUCAAAUGAUGCUGAGGAAGGUUGCAACGCCGGUGUGGGUUCUACUAUUUUCUGUCAAAUGCCAAAGGGUCGGUGAUCGAUUGGGAUCCUGUUUCAGACGACUGUGAAGAAGGCUACAGCGCUGGUGGAGUUCGACUGCUUGCUGUUUCAAAUGAUGCUGAGGAAGGUUGCAACGCCGGUGUGGGUUCUACUGUUUUCUGUCAAAUGCCAAAGGUUCGGUGAUCGAUUGGGAUCCUGCAGAGAUGAAAACAGAGUUAAUCCGUGAUCCUCUGCCUUUUCUCUCCUUUUCUGGCGAUAUAUUUUUCGGAUGAAAACUGGUUUCUUGCAGGGACGGAAUCGGGGUUGAUGUUGCUGUUCUUCCCUGUAUUUUCUUUUUUUGAUUGUGUUCUGUUUUCUCUGUUUUUUUUUGGUUUCUUGCUUUGUUUUUCUGGGUUGAUCCUCUGAUUUUCGGCCUCCACAUAUCUGGGUUUUCUUCUCCCUUUUAUAGAGAAGCCAGCCCUGCAACCAGUCCUGUCUUUGCAGGACUGUGUUAUGGAAUCCAUGAACAAGAUUAUCGGCAAGAGACGUGGUCCAAGAUCAGAUUUGUUGCAGAUUAUCAGCUCCCCUGCUGAAUCGGAAGCUCUCCUGUUGAAUCGGGAUGGAGAAGACGCACGGCUGUUCCUUAGCAACGGUGCCGUUUUGGCUGGAAAACGGGAGUUUUCAAUUUGACCCCUGAACUUGGGAAAUUCGGCAAUUGGACCCCUAAGCAAUUUAAAAUUUUCUUUUAAUUUUGCCCUCUUUUGAUUAAUUUCAAUUAAAUCCCUAAAUUGGUACACUGUUUACAAAACAGUCCUUAAUUCCUGGAUUAUUCAAUUAGGUCCUUAAUUCUUUCAAAAUUGAUCAAUUAACUCUCAAAUUACAUCCCUAAACUUCAAAAUUU